CUUUUAUCCUGUGCUCAGCCGCGAGGCCGCUGGCUCUGCUGGCCAUGGAGGAUCUGCUUUGGUGGAGCAUGCCUAGAAGACAAGCGACAGAGCGUGGCUCAACUUGACACGGCUUUCACGAAGUCACUACUGAUGCUGGUGCCUUUGUUACAAAGACAGACGGAAAAAUCUCAAGGCAUAAUGUGACAGCCAGCCAGCACCACAAAGGAAAAGCAACACACCUGCCCGGAGGUCUUAAUACUCAUGCUGAGUGACUUACAAGGGAUCGUGAGGGAAGACUCAGGGAGACCUUGGACACGGCAGCCAGCAGCACCACCACACAGAAGAUGACCUUCAUGCCUGCAGGCGAGAAGUGAGGGCAAAAUAGAUCAAGGUAAUCAUUGCCUCUUUCUCAAACAUUGCAUACAUGGAAAUGAAAUUCAAAGCGUGUGUGUCACAAUGGUGAUGACGUAAAUAGUCGUUCUUUCAAUGCUAAUAUUAUUCCUGUCACAUUCAAAUGGUUGUUAAGGUGGGCUUGCUCUGUCUGCGUGGAAGUCCUCCAAUCUCUUCACCUUCCUCCUCUUCUCUCCAUCGACAUUUUUUAAACACUCACUAACUAAUAAGAUGUGAUGUACAACAAAAUACAGAAAGGAUCCAUUCAGAACUUGAGCACCAAUCACAAAUGGAUGAAAUAUUUGUUUCUAUGGUUCCAAAAAAUGCAAUCAAUUGGAAUACCUCGAGUGAAUCUGAAUUCGAUUCCAUUGGAGCAUGAUGCUCAUGCUUCUAUAUGACUAAUGUGUCAUGUCAACUCGACUUCAAGAAAUGAAAAGAGCAAUACAGACAAAAAAGAGCUGACAUCAAGAUUGUUGUGCAGCUACUUACCUGCAGCCAUAUGUGCUGACCCAGACGCUCAGCUUGUGAAUGCGUGACGGAGACCACGCAACCUUUUAUACACAAAGGAAGGAAGGUGGGAAGGAAGGAAGGAAAGAAGGAAGGAAGGAAGGUGGGGCCAAGGCAAGUAGGAGGAGCCUUUCUGGCACCCAAGACGAGUGAGUGAUGCAUGUGAACACGCCGAAAGGGCAUAAAUCAGGUCUUGGAUUGAGGCUUCAAUUUGUUUUCCUCCCUCCCUCCAAUUCAAUUUCACCCAGGGCCAAUGAGGGAAUCGCUGACCUCCACGUGGCCUCUGCUGUGUCACAAACCACAUAUGUGUUGAGCUACCACUCAUUGAAGUUCAGAGCAAAUGAGCCAGCCAAAGACAAUCGGAAUCGGAACUUUUUCCCGAUCAAAAUCAUCUUAUUAGACUGCAAUGGAAAAAAAAAAAUCCAAGUGAAUUGAGAUGGAAUCCUUUUCCAGAUGCUGGCACACAACAAAAGACUUGAGCGCACUGCAAGCGUCAUUGUCCAAACUGGACAUGUUUUCUUCUUGUUGUGCAGAAGGCAACCCAAGUGGCUGGCCUGUCAAAUGGUCAAAGCCACAGAGUGAUGUCGUGGGUGUGCUUUUGAAAAGCUUUCAAGUGACUGGUGGCAGCUCCAACCUUUUCAAGCAUGGACACCGAGCGUCUUAUGGAUGUUCCAUGAGCUGAAUCUUCCUGUCAUGUGCAACUGCUCUCAUUCAACUCGCUAUGCUGUCAAUGGCACCUGUCACCAACUUUCUUCCAGCACUCAUUCCAUACGAUCGAAAGAAGGCCAUUAUUUCAGGACGUCCCUUCGUGUAGCUUUCAUGUCCAAACUGGUUGCUUGCCAGUUAGUCAAAGGACACGUGGACAAAGUGAGCCAAGAACGAGCAAGGCUGAAGCUCAGACGCGACGGAUGAAGGAAAUUCACUUUGCCGAACUUUGGCAAACUCGUUUUCUUUGCUCAACUUGUGCCUCAAAGCUUUUUGGUCCCGUUUUUGCGUCUCGGUCUAUUGAUUGGAGAGAGAGAAAAAAAAAAUCACGAUUUCAUCCGGCCUACGACGCAGAAGUGGACCUGGUUUGACUCUGGAAGCAAUUUCAAACUAGGCUUUGAAACUAGAGUUCGGGAUUUGAAGUGUUGCAAUGCGCCACCGCGGAGUCCGACUUGUGAGGACAGUGGCGUAAGUGGCAUUUCAUUGCAGGGUGACAAAUUCAAGUAAUAUUACAGCCACGGAAUUGCUGCGCUCUGUCUUUCAUUGUCUUCAGUCCGUCCAUAAUUGAAUUCAACCACGGCCAAAUUCAAUAAGACCAUGUAUACGUAUCCCUUUUUUGAUACAAGGAGAAAAGUGUGACGAUGCAUGGCCUUCAUUUUUUCAUCCUGGUCAUAACAUGAAAAAGAGGACGCCAAGCCGUUCCGAGCCUUUCUUCAUUUUUGCUCGACUGUGCUGCCCCUGCAAACAUGAUCAUUGCUAUUGAAUAGAAGGCUAGAUUGCUUCAAAGUGAAAUUUGCCAAAUGGAUUUAUAGCAUCUGGACAUCCUCCAGCAAGAGCAAGAAACAACAACGACUACCACCAAUAUGUGCUUUGGGGAGAAGGAAGGAAGGAAGAAAGCAAAAAGGAAGCCUCAAUUGCAGCCACUGUAAUAUGUUGCUUGCUGAUGUGACUUCAUAUAAGACGUGCAGCUCGGGCUGACAAGGGUGAGAGCCCAAAGUCAUGCAUCACCCUGGAUUGAUCUCAUUUGACAAAUAAUAUUCAUGAGACAAAAGAAUGUUUUUCUACCUGCGACCUUGCACAAACACUGACACUCUCUCUCUUAAGUUGGGCUCCAAGAAAUCCACAAGUUCUUGCAUGAUGUACUUCCAUUUGGCACCUGACAGCUUCCAUGAUGGAUUAUGAUUCGCCAUUAGCGGCCGAGCGAGCGAGCGGCUAUGUAAUCUCCUGGCGCAAAUGGUUAGCCGCGCGCCAACUAAGCGCUGAUUUGUCACAAUACCGUUGUGGCCUUACAGGAAGACAUUUGCAACUUUUUCACUGAAACCAAAUCUGUCCUUUGGGAGUCAACAAUGAUUUGAUGUCAGGUCUAUGGGAAUAAUUGCAAUUUUGUGUUCGAAUUGAAGUAUUCGACCGUAUUUGGUCAUAUUACGCUUUGAUUCUAUUCAAACGACAGCUCAAAGUCAAGUCAAAGUCAGCUUUAUUGUCAAUCUCUCCACAUGUCACAACACACAAAGAGAGCGAAAUGACGUUUUUCUCUAUCCCACGGUGCCGAGACACAUAACACGAUAGACAUACAAGCACGCGACACAAUAUAAAAACAAGAAGGGAAAAAUUCAAACAAUCAAUCGUGAGACUUGCACACAAAUCACAUCUCAACUCAUCAGACGUGGUGAGCGAGCAGGCCCACAAGUCAAAGCAUUUUUGGAUUCCAAAGUGACCAAAUAACAAGGCAAUAAAUAGCAGCAAGAUAGGGUUUACCUUCUAGAAAUGAGACAGUAAAUAUCAAAUGAUAGUCACUCCAACACAGUGCUGAAAACAGGAAUGCACAUGCACCUGUUUUUUCCUCUUGACAUGACUAAUAAUCAUCAUUUACGUCGUCUACACACAUAUGCACACACAUGCACGUUGCUACCUGCAAUUUGCACAGACUAUUAGCAUAAUGGCUUCCUGCGAGAACGGGUGAAGCUUAUUAGUAAACAAGCCCGGAGCCGUAAAUCACAUUUAACACUAUUGGAUUUUUUUUUUUUUUUUUUAUUCGUCUUAAUCACACACUAUGUCGUCGUCUGUGAUGCAGAGCAUGUUUGGCUUUGUUUGUUCAACAGAAAGUCAAUGACCUGGAAAUAAAGGGAGGAGAGGAAAUAUUGUAUUAUUUGGUGUUGACUCAACAUCUUUGCUUGUUGACUUACGUUUUCAAAUGAGAUCAAGCGCACAUGUAUUCAAGCGCAAAUGGACUGGAAAUGAUUUGUUGAGUGGCUUGCGUCAGAUCCACUGGAUUGAAGGUUCAACUGAGUUUGGGCUAAUAGUGGAUUUGAGAGUUGUUGUCGUAAGGACUGGGGUGGGGUCAAAGGUUGAAACUGAAAACAUGUUGCAAAAGAAGAAGAAUUGUAGGAAACCUUUUUUCGGGUUGAAAAGAAUUUGCCUUCACUUUGGCCAUUCCUUUGAAUCAAUCGCUUUUCACUUCCAUUCGUCCUUUGAACAUGGAGGUUUUAUUUUUUUUUCAGUUUCAGAUUGAUGUGUCAGUUUCCGAUAUUGUUUCAGUUUCAAGUACCAAGUGAGGUGAUGAUAGCUGAACAGAAAGGCUCGGAGUGAAGCAAAUGCAAGUCACCGCUUAAGACGUGCUAACCACUGUGUGAAGAGGGCUCUAACCAAGGACCAACAUCAGCAAAGUGCCGUGAGCAUCCCCUGCCUCGCCGCCCUGCCACUUUGCCUGAUGUGCAGCGUGCCUGUGCAUAGUAACAAGUGUCAGGAAGUCAACACAACACGACCAUGCAACAAGCAGCAUUCUCCACGCGUGUGCCAUCAUCCUUUGGAAGCUGGACUUCUUGUGGCCCAAAGAGGCCUACCACCUUUGCAGCUACGAUACAAACCACAUCCUUUUUUAAUGGGAGCUUUAACACAGACCGUGCACGCACGGUACGUAUUGAAGCACCAAGAUAUUGCCAUAGAAAUGUUAUUGACAAAGGCUGAGCAAACGUGGACAAAUGACUCGAAAGUCGAUACGGCGCACCGUUUACGCCGCACAGGAGAUGGAACCGUAAAACACACAUGCACGCUCAUUUUACAGCACAUCAUGUUGACGUUCAAAUGCUCAAAGAUAAGAGCAGCAAGGGAGUGUGUGUGAGUGAGUGAGUGAGUGAAAUACAUCCAAUUUGGCAUUGGCCAUGGAAACAUUUCUAUUUGCUAUGAUUGGACUGUGCAAGUGUCCCUAAUGCUUUGGUCACUACGAGUGUUUGCACCCGUAGUUGGUUGUUGCAGGGUGAUUGUGUUGACCUGCAGCGCCACCCUGUGGCAGCCCUCACCUGUAGCAUGCCUGUGUCACGUGUGCUUCACCCGGGUUGUCGUUCCGAAAAAAGCA